rnacentral:rRNA from 1 species
GACGAACGCUGGCGGCGUGCUUAACACAUGCAAGUCGAACGGAAAGGCCCUGCUUUUGUGGGGUGCUCGAGUGGCGAACGGGUGAGUAACACGUGAGUAACCUGCCCUUGACUUUGGGAUAACUUCAGGAAACUGGGGCUAAUACCGGAUAGGAGCUCCUGCUGCAUGGUGGGGGUUGGAAAGUUUCGGCGGUUGGGGAUGGACUCGCGGCUUAUCAGCUUGUUGGUGGGGUAGUGGCUUACCAAGGCUUUGACGGGUAGCCGGCCUGAGAGGGUGACCGGCCACAUUGGGACUGAGAUACGGCCCAGACUCCAACGGGAGGCAGCAGUGGGGAAUAGUGCACAAUGGGCGGAAGCCUAGUGCAGCAACGCCGCGUGCGGGAUGACGGCCUUCGGGUUGUAACCCACUUUCGCCUGUGACGAGGCGUGAGUGACGGUAAUGGGUAAAGAAGCACCGGCUAACUACGUG